rnacentral:lncRNA from 1 species
GACAUCGGAGGUCUGAUCGCUGGAAUGUUCCGGAAAGCACCCAAAGAGAAAUCGUCGUCUCCUGCUGUGACGGUCCACUUAGCAGACAGUGAUUCUGAAGAUGCAGAAGAAGCAGAAGAUAAGGAAUGGGGAGGCUUUUUCUCUGGUAUCCGUAGAAAUUCCAAUAAAGCAAGAGACGAGACACCUGCACAGGUGAGUGACAAAAAAAGGCUUAAAACAGUUCAUGUUCAUAUUUCCUAUUUCUGUUAUUUUAAUUAAAAACAUUUUAAUUUUCUAUGAUAUCACGUUGGUGAUUCAGGACAAUCUGAGUGUUCAUAGUGAUCUGUCUGCCAGCAGCGACAGUCUGUCUGAAAACGGCACCAAGGUGAGCAGCGUUCAGUGACGGCACAGAUAAAGUUAUCUUUACUUACAGUGCACACACAGACUUGUGGAUUGUCCAAAGGCCCCACAUUGACCGUGACCCAAAUACAUCUGAUCCGUAACUGAGCAUGUGCGCAAUACUUUUGUUUCUAUUUCAGGAAAAAGGAGGAAUAUUCAAGAAGUUCAAAAAGUCUCCGAAAGCAACAGAAGCUGCUCAAACUGACGAGGACCGACGGUCUUUACAUGAUGAUCUCUCGGGCAGCAAUGAUGAUCUGUCUGAAAACUCAAAGGAAAAAGGAGGAUUUUUCAGCGGGAUCCUCCGAAAGUCUCCUAAGAUUCCUGGAGAGGGAACACCUGGCCAGGAUAAACAGUCGCUGCAAACGGAGCCAGCAGACGAUGAGACUGAGAACAGCAGCACUAAAGUAAGAGAUGUUAUCAGGGUGGGGAGUGGGGGCCCAAUCUUAUAUUUGCUUUGAAUCCUCCUACACUUAAAAUAACCAGGGAACACCCCGACGCAACC